CGUCGAGCUACUACGGUAGUGAAGUCAUUGAUGCCAUGCUUCCAGGAAAAGCCUCUAAGCUUCAGAUUGUAAGGAAUCGUACCCCAAACCGACACAGGUGGUCGGGUAGAGAAUACCAAGGCGCUUGAGAGAACUCGGGUGAAGGAACUAGGCAAAAUGGUACCGUAACUUCGGGAGAAGGUACGCUCUUGAUGGUGAAGUCCCUUGCGGAUGGAGCUGACGAGAGUCGCAGAUACCAGGUGGCUGCAACUGUUUAUUAAAAACACAGCACUGUGCAAAAUCGUAAGAUGACGUAUACGGUGUGACGCCUGCCCGGUGCCGGAAGGUUAAUUGAUGGGGUUAGCGUAAGCGAAGCUCUUGAUCGAAGCCCCGGUAAACGGCGGCCGUAACUAUAACGGUCCUAAGGUAGCGAAAUUCCUUGUCGGGUAAGUUCCGACCUGCACGAAUGGCGUAAUGAUGGCCACGCUGUCUCCACCCGAGACUCAGUGAAAUUGAAAUCGCUGUGAAGAUGCAGUGUACCCGCGGCUAGACGGAAAGACCCCGUGAACCUUUACUACAGCUUGGCACUGAACAUUGAACCUACAUGUGUAGGAUAGGUGGGAGGCUUUGAAGACGUGACGCCAGUUGCGUUGGAGCCGUCCUUGAAAUACCACCCUUGUAUGUUUGAUGUUCUAACGUUGGCCCCUAAUCGGGGUUGCGGACAGUGCCUGGUGGGUAGUUUGACUGGGGCGGUCUCCUCCCAAAGAGUAACGGAGGAGCACGAAGGUGGGCUAAUCACGGUUGGACAUCGUGAGGUUAGUGCAAUGGCAUAAGCCCGCUUAACUGCGAGAAUGACGGUUCGAGCAGGUGCGAAAGCAGGUCAUAGUGAUCCGGUGGUUCUGAAUGGAAGGGCCAUCGCUCAACGGAUAAAAGGUACUCCGGGGAUAACAGGCUGAUACCGCCCAAGAGUUCAUAUCGACGGCGGUGUUUGGCACCUCGAUGUCGGCUCAUCACAUCCUGGGGCUGAAGUCGGUCCCAAGGGUAUGGCUGUUCGCCAUUUAAAGUGGUACGCGAGCUGGGUUUAGAACGUCGUGAGACAGUUCGGUCCCUAUCUGCCGUGGGCGUUGGAAGAUUGAAGGGGGCUGCUCCUAGUACGAGAGGACCGGAGUGGACGAACCUCUGGUGUUCGGGUUGUGUCGCCAGACGCAUUGCCCGGUAGCUAAGUUCGGAAUCGAUAACCGCUGAAAGCAUCUAAGCGGGAAGCGAGCCCUGAGAUGAGUCUUCCCUGAUACUUUAAGUAUCCUGAAGGGUUGUUCGAGACUAGAACGUUGAUAGGCAGGGUGUGUAAGCGCUGUGAGGCGUUGAGCUAACCUGUACUAAUUGCCCGUGAGGCUUAACCAUACAACAC
rnacentral:rRNA from 1 species